GGAACAUUCACCUUUGGCUUCAAAGAGUGCCAGAAGGAGGUGGAAGGAGCCUGUGGGAAGAGAAGUAAAAUAGCCAGAGCAGAAAGUCAGCCUAGCUCAUGAAGUCAUAGGGAAAGGUGAAUAAAUGCACCCGGAGCCUCCUCCAUGAUGGAGAUAAUUACAAUGGGAUUGAAAAACAUCCUCGGGAGCAAAGAGCAACGGGGAUGGAUCGAUUCAGACAGAUCUUCCAUGAUGCCCUGUGUGUCUGAUGUGCCUUCCAAAGGAAAUGGAGACUGUUCUCUUUGAUGGUACCCUUCCUGUGCAGAACUCGUACUCAGAUGAAAUGCAGGGAAAGGUUCAGCAUGCUGGAAAUAACCUAGAACACAGUCCUCACACAGCAGAAUCCCAUUAAAACAGCACAUGCCCUUGA
ensembl:lincRNA Gm43616 predicted gene 43616